rnacentral:rRNA from 1 species
GACGGGGGGGGCAAGUGUUCUUCGGAAUGACUGGGCGUAAAGGGCACGUAGACGGUGAAUCGGGUUGAAAGUGAAAGUCGCCAAAAAGUGGCGGAAUGCUCUCGAAACCAAUUCACUUGAGUGAGACAGAGGAGAGUGGAAUUUCGUGUGUAGGGGUGAAAUCCGUAAAUAUACGAAGGAACGCCAAAAGCGAAGGCAGCUCUCUGGGUCCCUACCGACGCUGGGGUGCGAAAGCAUGGGGAGCGAACAGG